CAGGUCAAGAUAUGGUUCCAGAACAAACGCUCCAAGUUCAAGAAGCUGAUGAAGCAAGGCGGGGCAGCUCUGGAGGGCAGCGCGCUGGCGAAUGGCAGGGCCUUGUCUGCCGGCUCCCCACCGGUACCACCCGGCUGGAAUCCGAAUUCCUCCUCUGGGAAGGGCUCCGGCAGCAGCGCUGGCUCCUACGUCCCCAGCUACACGUCGUGGUAUCCCUCAGCGCACCAAGAAGCUAUGCAGCAGCCUCAACUGAUGUGAGGUUAUCAGUUCGCACUCACCCGCUUCCUGCCCAUCUCCCUUGGCCCGGCCCCUCCCGCCUCCAGGUUCAUCCACUCAUUCGCACGCCCUGGGCCGGAAGGAGAAGGGCCCAAGGGCGAGGGCGGGGGACGU
rnacentral:lncRNA from 1 species